UACGUAGGGAGCAAGCGUUGUCCGGAAUCAUUGGGCGUAAAGCGCGCGUAGGCGGUCAGGUAAGUCCGGUGUGAAAGUCAAAGACUCAACCUUUGAAUGCCGCUGGAUACUGCCUGACUUGAGUCCGGAAGGGGCGAGUGGAAUUCCUGGUGUAGCGGUGAAAUGCGCAGAUAUCAGGAGGAACACCAAUGGCGAAGGCAGCUCGCUGGAACGGUACUGACGCUGAGGCGCGAAAGCGUGGGGAGCGAACAGG
rnacentral:rRNA from 1 species